AGCUUGCUCCUUUGAAGUUAGCGGCGGACGGGUGAGUAACACGUGGGUAACCUACCUAUAAGACUGGAAUAACUCCGGGAAACCGGGGCUAAUGCCGGAUAACAUGUUGAACCGCAUGGUUCAACAGUGAAAGACGGUCUUGCUGUCACUUAUAGAUGGACCCGCGCCGUAUUAGCUAGUUGGUGGGGUAACGGCCUACCAAGGCGACGAUACGUAGCCGACCUGAGAGGGUGAUCGGCCACACUGGAACUGAGACACGGUCCAGACUCCUACGGGAGGCAGCAGUAGGGAAUCUUCCGCAAUGGGCGAAAGCCUGACGGAGCAACGCCGCGUGAGUGAUGAAGGUCUUCGGAUCGUAAAGCUCUGUUGUUAGGGAAGAACAAAUGUGUAAGUAACUGUGCACGUCUUGACGGUACCUAACCAGAAAGCCACGGCUAACUACGUGCCAGCAGCCGCGGUAAUACGUAGGUGGCAAGCGUUAUCCGGAAUUAUUGGGCGUAAAGCGCGCGUAGGCGGUUUUUUAAGUCUGAUGUGAAAGCCCACGGCUCAACCGUGGAGGGUCAUUGGAAACUGGAAAACUUGAGUGCAGAAGAGGAAAGUGGAAUUCCAUGUGUAGCGGUGAAAUGCGCAGAGAUAUGGAGGAACACCAGUGGCGAAGGCGGCUUUCUGGUCUGCAACUGACGCUGAUGUGCGAAAGCGUGGGGAUCAAACAGGAUUAGAUACCCUGGUAGUCCACGCCCGUAACGAUGAGUGCUAAGUGUUAGGGGGUUUCCGCCCCUUAGUGCUGCAGCUAACGCAUUAAGCACUCCGCCUGGGGAGUACGGUC
rnacentral:rRNA from 1 species